rnacentral:lncRNA from 1 species
CCAGGUGUCACCAAAGUCCACAGAGUAGUCAUGGGAGUGGACCAACAGUCACUGGAACAAGAAGUCAGAAGUGGAUUGGACCUGAAAGGCAAGAGAGUAGGAGGAUUGUAUUGCUGCUUUUAAUGGAGCGAAUCCCCCCUCCCCACCAGAAACAGCAAAGAAACAGCAACUGGAAGAUAACAGAAUCAUGAAAGCAUGAUUGAAGAACAAAAAAAUGGGACAGCUGACACUUCCACUUCUGUUAAGAGUUCUUUGCCAGCCACAUUAUUGGAGAAAGUGGAAGAUGGACUUUUGAUUGGAGAAAAAUCUUGGCAGGAAGAUCACCAUGGAGCGUAGAAGGGUGAGGAUACACCUAGUGCCUCAGGAUACAUGAAUGGAUAAAGUAGACGAAGAUCAAGCGUUGUCUUUCUGGAGUGUACCGUCUAGCAGGGGAAAAGGAUGACUAAUAAUGAAUACAUUGUAUAGUAAGUUGGAAACAGUGCUGUGAAAAAAAGAAAAAGUGGAAAACCUAGGCAAUACCAUUCAGGACACAGGCAU